rnacentral:tRNA from 1 species
UGACGUGUAGCUCAGUUGGUAGAGCACCUGACUUUUAAUCAGAGGGUCACAGGUUCGAGACCUGUCACGUCAA